UUUGUAAGGAAGAUAUGGUGGAUUGUUCAGCAAGAUAUAAUGUCGCUCAUACAUGUAUACAUGCACUUUCUCUAACCAGGGACUGAAAAAUCAACUUAAGACCACAAUUUAUAUGAUUUAGAAAUAGAUUACAAAUACAAAGAUGGAUCAGAGACCUAAACCAGCUCAUGGCCAUUCCCGAUGUGGCUCAGCAUCAUGUCCCCAUAUGGUGCAGGCCCCGACGGUCAUAUCCAUGGUGGGAUUACCGGCCCGCGGGAAAACAUACAUGUCCAAGAAGUUGACCAGAUACCUCAACUGGAUCGGCAUCAGAACUAAAGUUUUCAAUGUUGGAGAGUAUAGAAGGGCAGCCACAGACAAAUAUCGAAGUCAUGUAUUUUUCGAUACGACCAAUUCCGAAGCUUUAGCCAUAAGACAGAAAUGUGCCCUGAUGGCGAUUGACGAUGCCUGCAGCUUUCUCAAAGGAGGGGGAGAAGUAGCUGUGAUAGAUGCCACCAACACUACCAGGGAAAGACGCAAACUUCUGGCGGAGAUCAUCUGUGAUAGGUUUGGGUUCCGACUCUUCUUUGUGGAGUCCAUUUGUGAUGACGAGACCAUCAUUGAGGCCAACAUACUGGAGGUAAAAGUUUGCAGCCCUGAUUACCUGGGGAUGGACAAGAAUGAAGCUGUAAAGGACUUCAUGAAGAGGAUAGAGCACUACAGCCUGAACUACCAGUCCCUGGACUACAGUCUCGACAAGACCCUCUCCUUUAUACAGAUCUUCAACCAGGGGGAGAGAUUUCUAGUCAACAAACUAGCAGGUCAUCUACAAAGUCGAGUUGUGUACUAUCUGAUGAAUAUCCAUGUCCUCCCAAGAACUAUUUACCUCACCAGGCAUGGUGAGAGCAUGAUGAAUCUCCAGGGGCGUAUAGGAGGGGACAGUGAACUCUCCCCCAGGGGCCAAGAGUAUGCCAAAGAGCUGGGGAAGUUUGUCGACCAGGAGAAGAUCCCGAACCUGAAGGUGUGGACGAGUGAGCUGACACGAACCAUACAGACAGCCCAGCAUAUCAAGGCACCAAAGGCCCACUGGAAAGCUCUCAAUGAGAUUGAUGCUGGUAUAUGUGAGGGUAUGACAUAUGAAGAGAUUGCAGAAAAGUACCCAGAGGAGUUUGCCAAGCGAGACCAGGAUAAAUACCACUACAGAUACCCUACUGGCGAGUCGUACCAAGACCUUGUUGCCAGACUGGAACCAGUUAUAAUGGAGUUGGAGAGACAGGAGAAUGUAAUGGUUGUGUGUCACCAGGCCGUGGCCCGAUGUCUUCUGGCCUACUUUCAGGACAAGUCUUCAGAGGACCUUCCAUAUCUGAAGGUUCCCCUUCACACCGUGAUAAAACUCACGCCGGUGGCCUAUGGCUGUAGAGUGGAAUAUGUCAGCCUAAAUAUUCCUGCCGUGAACACACACCGGGAACGGCCUGUGAAAAAAGAGCGUUUAGAGGGUCAAGAGACCUCUGAUGAAGAAGAGCCGGACCACCAUCAUCAUCACCCCCACCCCAAGGAGCAGUUCAAAUAUCGUGCAAUGUCCAUGUCAUAAAGACAUUAGAUAUUAAUUAUAAUUAAUGUGUUAAAGGUUAUUGGCCGGUUUCUUUGUUCAGCCCUGGGCUGUGUAUAUUGACAGUGGUUUAGAAUAUAAAAGGCAAAAAGUUGUCUGGGAAUCUGGUUUGGUGUCAAAACAUUAAUAUGUUCCAAAUUGCAAUACUUCCUUAACUUUUUGUAAAGACAAAAUGGUACAUAAUAUGAGAAAGUAUCAUAUCAAAAUAUGGCUCAGUAUCAAAAAACAAGUUAUAGAAAGAGCCAUAUAUUUGUUCAAUGUUUAUGCCAGGUAGACCUCAGAUCAGUUUAAAUCAUGACCAGGAUGGUAGAGGGGCCAUUUCGUGUCUGACAGCAUUACUGCACAUGGAUUUUUCGAGUGUGUAGUCUUGACAAACGUAAUUAUUUCAUGCUGAAAACCUUGUUAAAGUCAAGAUUAAUGGCAAUGUUGUCAAUUUUUUUAAGUAAACUACCUUGUAAUAUUAGCUCUAUAUAUCUAGAUAAAACAAGUGAAGCUGAAACAGAUCUUUUAAAUCGUGUUAGAAAUAUUGCAGGUCAAAAAAUAUUGCAGGUCAAAAAUAUGUCCAUAAUUAGAUCAAGGGCAAAUGGCUGACAGCCUUGUUAAUCAGAUAUACAUGUAUGUGUUUUUGACAUAUCUUUGUACUACAGGUGUUUAUAUGUAUAGUGUUAGCCUUAUUUGCUUGUGUUUUUGAAGAGUCUUUAAUCAGCUGUAUGCAACUUUUACUUUGUAAGGUCUUUUAAUUGGUCACUCUAUUUCCUGUGCGAAUUUGCAUAUAGAGGUUUAACUGUAUCCAUUAGGUGUUACUUGUGUUGUGUUGGCUUGAUCACUCAUAUUUAUUUAAGAUGGAAAGAAGUUAAACAAUGUCUUAUGUCCAUUACAAAAUAGUAACAAUGUCUUAUGUCAAUUACAAAAUAGUAACAAUGUCUUAUGUCAAUUACAAAAUAGUAAUAAUGUCUUAUGUCAAUUACAAAAUAGUAACAAUGUCUUAUGUCAAUUACAAAAUAGUAACAAUAUCUUAUGUCAAUUACAAAAUAGUAAUAAUGUCUAAUGUCAAUUACAAAAUAGUAAUAAUGUCUUAUGUCAAUUACAAAAUAGUAACAAUGUCUUGUGUCAAAAAAUACAUUUUGAAAAUAUUGAUUGUAUAAGAAUAAUGUAGCCUUUUAUAUGAUGUAUUUUGUAAUUAACAUUCCAAGAUUUAAAAAGCAACAACAUAAAAUUAAAGUAAUUCUUAGCUGAUCUGCUUUUCAAAGUCAUGCUUUUCAAGGUAUUGUUAUAGCAUGGGUGUCAUUUUCAGCAGUAGCCCUUCAAACAUGUAAGAUCUGCCAUAACUCAACAACAGAUAUUCAAAUACAAAUUGGUACACAUGUACACAUGAACACAUGUUGGCAGAGUCAAUAUGUACAGGCAUAGCAAAGAAUAAUAAUUAUCAAGUUUUGCUGACUGGAAAAAUAAAAGACAAAAGAGUAUAGCGUUUGCUCCUUAAAUAUAACAUAUGUCAUUCAUUAUUUUAAUAUGUAUUCUAUACAUAUACAUAUGUAAUUCAAUUUGCUUAUCUUACUUUCUAAUUCCUAGGGCUAUUUACAAAUUUCUUUUAGAUUAAAUGCUUUAUGUUUCUAGUAAUUUACAGUGAUGUGCAGGGAAUGAAAAUUUUACAGAAUGUUUUUAAUGAUUGUAUGGUGUUUGUUUUAUUAUUCAGAGGCAAUAUUAAAUGUAUUAUCGUAAAAAAAGAUAUCAAGUGUAUUUAUUCUAGAUUUUCUUGAAUUUUUGAAUUAUUAAAUUGAUGUUGUUAAGUUUUCGAAAAUGGAUAGUAUUUGUAUUAAAAUAUAAAAAGAUAAAUUGUGUAUUUUAUUCUAAUGUAUAUAUGGCAUCCUUGUAUGUCUUGUUCAGGAGUUACUGGGUAUAUUUGUAUGUUUUUCAUUGGUCAUAAUUAUGUGUAAGUUCUAUUCUCAUUAGGAGGAAUUAUGCAGCCAUAAUGAGCUGUCAAAGAAUGUUGAUCCAGCUAGGUCAUUAGAAGAUGCUGUUUCUACUGUGCCUAAAUUAGAUGAAAAUGGCCAGCCAAUAGCCAAUCCGAUUGAACCAGUCAUUAUGGUCACAUGAUGCAGUGGAGCCAAUCAGAUGUGGCCUGUGAUUGUCUCAGGAUUCAUAGUAUAAAUAGACAAAAAGACAAAUGUGAAUUUGUUCCAGGGUUAAAAUGUAGAUUUACAAAAUGAAAUUGUGCAUCAGACUAUAUAAAUGUUGUUUGUUGAAUAUUAUACACUGCUGAUUUUUGUGUCGCCUGAAAAGACGACAUAUAGGGGUUACUUUUGUCGGCGGUGGCGGCGUCGGCGGCGUCUGCGUCCCAUUUUCGCUUGUCCGGGGUAUAUCUCCUAAACUAUUAGUGGUAUCAACUUGAAACUUCAUAUGUACAUAGAUCUAAUUGAGGGCAAGUGCAGUGCACAAGAACUGUUACUCUUGCUUCCAUAUUUUUAGAGUUUUGCCCUUUGUUAUUUUUCAUGCUUAAAGUUUUGUCCGGGGCAUAUCUUGUAGAAUAUAAGAGUUAUCAACUUGAAACUUCAUAUGUAGAUAGAUCUUAUGGAGGGCAAGUGCAGUGCACAAUAACAGUAACUCUUGCUUUCUUAGUUUUAAAAUUAUUGCCCUUUGUUAAUUUUCAUGCUUAAAGUUUUGUCCGGGGCAUAUCUUGAAGAAUAUAAGAGGUAUCAACUUGAAACUUCAUAGCUAGACAGAUCUCAUUGAGGGCAAGUGCAGUGCACAAUAACAGUAACUCUUGCUUUCUUAGUUUUAAAGUUAUUGCCUUUUGUUAAUUUUCAUGCUUAAAGUUUUGUGCGGGGCAUAUCUUGAAGAAUAUAAGAGGUAUCAACUUGAAACUUCAUAGCUAGAUAUAUCUCAUUGAGGGCAAGUGCAGUGCACAAUAACAGUAACUCUUGCUUUCUUAGUUUUAAAGUUAUUGCCCUUUGUUAAUUUUCAUGCUUAAAAGUUUUGUCCGGGGCAUAUCUUGAAGAAUAUAAGAGGUAUCAACUUGAAACUUCAUAGCUAGAUAUAUCUCAUUGAGGGCAAGUGCAGUGCACAAUAACAGUAACUCUUGCUUUCUUAGUUUUAAAGUUAUUGCCCUUUGUUCAUUUUCAUGCUUAAAGUUUGUCCGGGGCAUAUCUUGAAGAAUAUAAGAGGUAUCAACUUGAAACUUCAUAGCUAGAUAGAUCUCAUUGAGGGCAAGUGCAGUGCACAAGAACCGUUACUCUUGCUGCCAUAUUUUUAAAGUUAUUGCCCUUUGUUAAUUUUCUUGCUUAGGUUUUGUCCGUGGCAUAUCUCGUAAACUAUAGGAGGUUUCAACCUGAAAACUUAUUCCGUAGGUAUAUCUGAUUGAGGGUUCAAAUGCCACCUACACUUGAAAGUUAAAUGGCAACAUCAUUGUCUAUAAAUGAAUAAAAUGCCAAUCUAACAGCUAUAAUGUCGACAGUAAAUAAUUCGUCAGGCGACACAUCCGACUCGCGGAGUUCUAGUUAUCAUUAUUUGUCCUUAUUUUGAAGAUAUAAAGUUGAGUUAUUUUGAUAGCCUUGUGUUGUAAUAGGUGAGCAAAAUCUUGAACAUUGGUCAUAAUUGAAAAACAACAGGCAAGUGUUGACAUUUGCUUGGUGGUGCUCUUGGUGAACUGUUUGGGUUUUGCUUACGAAACUACUCAAUAAAUAAAAUAGGAGUCAAAGAACCAAUAGCCAAGUAUCAUUGUGUAAUGUUAUGUUUUUCAUUGUCAUCUUCAACAAAAAUACCUUUAUAUCUUAUACUAAUUGUUUUAUAUAUUUUGAAGGUUGUGAUAAGAUGAACCAGGUACUAUAAAUCCUCAUUGUUGUUAAUCAUCAUGUUAUGAUGUAUUAUGAAAUUGCUUCAGUUAUGACAUCCCUAGUCUGUUAAUGAUCAAAGGUUGUAACUCUAUGCCCCUGCAUACAGACAUUUUCUGUAGUGAACCUGUUAGACAUAGUGUUGUUUAUGUUUGGUGUUGGUGUUCUAGUCUUGCCUGUACAUGACCAUACACAUUUUAAAUCUUGUCUUGGUGUGUGGAUUUUUUUCAUAGACAGUCCACUGAUUGUCAUUGGCACCAUCUCACCAGUGUCAUGAAAAUCUUUACCUUUGGUCAAAUAGAGAACUGUUGAAAGAUGAACACUUGGUACACAUGAAUAUUUAUUUUUGCAAUUUUUCAUUGUCCUUAACCUAACAAUGUUUAAACAUCUUUGACUCAAAGACAGUUCAAAUACAGUCAAAUAAAUACAUAUUUCCUGAUUCAUUUUUAACAGAGAGCUUUUUAUCAAUGUUUAUGUUGUCUUAUCCUUUUUUAAUAGAAACAUUUUGGUUUAUUUGAGAAUGUUUCAAUUAUCUAUGCAAAUAAGGUUAUGAAAGGGUGCUGCACCAGCGUCUUAAUAGAUGAAAUGCGUAAGAUAAUUCACUUUUAAUUUUGUUAUGAUUAAAACUUGCAUGUGUUAAAUAUGAUUAAGAAUACUUUAAGAAACCUUACAUAAUUAUUUGGCAGUUGAAACCAAUUACUUUAAUUAAAAACAAUUCCUAACACUUUCUGUCAAAUACAUAAUGUUCAAGAUCAUCACAGCUUGGUACAAUGUGUAAUUCUUCCAAAGCCCCAUAUUUCUCUACUGCAGCAACCUGCUUGUUUAAACACCGGGCUAAAACGGGUAUUUAAGGUUUAUAUGUAUAUGCUCAAUAUUUUCAGUGAAUAUUUUGAAUGAGCAAUUUGAUGAAAUGAAAUUCUUAGCAUUUUUUACCACUGUUUAGUGUGGACAUGAUUAGUUUCUAUGUAUUUGUUGUAUAUAUGUGUGUAACUGUUGAUGCGUAUUUGAAUGUUAUCAUGAAACUCUUAUUCAGGAUGUUUUGCUAACAAUAGGAUAAGGUGCAAUCUAUGUAUGUGUGUAUAUGAUUUUUAAAACCAAUAAAUGUGAAAAAUGAAA